UAGUAAUCGUGGAUCAGCAUGCCACGGUGAAUACGUUCCCGGGUCUUGUACACACCGCCCGUCACACCAUGAGAGUUAGGAAUACCCGAAGCCUGUGAGCUGACUUUAAUAGAGGCAGCAGUCGAAGGUAGAACUAAUGAUUGGGGUGAAGUCGUAACAAGGUACC
rnacentral:rRNA from 1 species